GGGAUUUUUAGAACACUGACUAUAAUGUAUUAAAAAGAUAAUGUUUUAGAAAAUUGUAAACCCAUGAAUAAAGUUAAGAUGAAUUUAAUAAUAGUGGAAUGAUCACCACAUAUCGUAUUUGGGAGAAGGAGAGUAUCUUACCGUUUUGGUUUAGGGGAAUUGAUCAAGCCAGAGGAUGGGAGAAAGGGGAGGGCGAAAAAGGUCAGCGGUGGUGACAUGGUUGCAGAUUUGGGUUGAAAAAGAAAAGAUGAUUUAUUCAUUUAUGAAAAGUAAAAUAUGGGUGACAAAAUCAAGUGAUGAUUGAUAAUUAUGAAUGAGACACCGUCUUUGAGUCUUCAAAUUAAAGCAAAUGACAUCCAUAAUUUAGGUUUUCUUAUGUGAUGGAUUUUUUUACGUACUCAUAUUGAUUCGAAUAUAUUAAAUGUACUCAGACGAAUGCCCUAGGUGAAAAUGAGUUCAGAUAUGAUCUUGAGUCCUGACAAUUUUAUUAAAAGAAUUUAACAAUUGUACUACUUUUUUGACAUUAUUAUUGCAAAAAUAUUAUAACUUUCAGAUCAUUGCAAAUAUACGACUUCUAAAAAAAGAUUUAAAAAUUUGCAUUUUUAUGUAUAAGGCUUACGAAUUAGAAGCUAGAGGAAUGAGGUUUGAGUCGGGUUUUCUGAAAUUAGUUNCCCCCCCCCCCCCCCCCCCCUCUCUCGGACGCUUAAUUGAGCAUCUUUUUCUAAUUAAUUUGCCUUUUGUUAUCCUUUUAAUAAGACAGGGAUCAGAAGUAAGAUCUACUAAUUGCUUCGGAGUUUAUGACGAUGACGGACCACAUUGGAGUUGACAGCGCCGAAGUUGAUGGUGAUGACGGAGAUGUCGUAGCAUAUGGAGAUGGAGAGUUGGAUGCUUCUGAUGUUGGUGGAGGAGUGGUGGUAGGUGGAGGCGACGACGCGACGUUGAGUUAGUGGAUGUGAUGAUUUUUGUGAGACAGAUGCUAGUAGUGAUGGAGGUGAAGUUGCUGGAAGUUGCAGCUCUUUAUUGUUGUUUUUAAUUGGUUGCUUUUAGUUAAUUUUAUGGUUGUUUUUAAUUCAUUGUUGUAUUAGUAUUGGCCUCGUAGGGGCACUCAUACUCAUUUUUCAUCCGUUGCGAUCACUUGCAACUUAUUACGCAAAUAAUUAUAAUCUUUAACAGAUUAUUUUAAAAGUUGCAUUUUUGGUUGCAUAUAGGUUGCUAGCA
rnacentral:lncRNA from 1 species